rnacentral:rRNA from 2 species
UACGAAGGGGGCUAGCGUUGCUCGGAAUCACUGGGCGUAAAGCGCACGUAGGCGGGCAUCUAAGUCGGUGGUGAAAUCCUGGAGCUCAACUCCAGAACUGCCUUCGAUACUGGAUGUCUCGAGUCCGAGAGAGGUGAGUGGAACUGCGAGUGUAGAGGUGAAAUUCGUAGAUAUUCGCAAGAACACCAGUGGCGAAGGCGGCUCACUGGCUCGGUACUGACGCUGAGGUGCGAAAGCGUGGGGAGCAAACAGG